AGGAGUUUGAUCCUGGCUCAGAUUGAACGCUGGCGGCAUGGUUAAAACAUGCAAGUCGAACGAGAAGCAGGCUUCGGCCUGUGGACAGUGGCGAAAGGGCGAGUAAUGCGUUUCUAACGUGCCCAGAGGUCAGGGAUAGCCCAGGGAAACUUGGAAUAAUACCUGAUAACCCCGCGAAACCGUAUGGUUUUGCGUGCAAAGGUUUACUGCCUCUGGAUCGGGAAACGUCCUAUCAGCUUGUUGGUGAGGUAAAGGCUCACCAAGGCUAAGACGGGUAGCGGGUGUGAGAGCACGGCCCGCCGCAUCGGGACUGAGACACUGCCCGGACUCCUACGGGAGGCUGCAGUAACGAAUAUUCCGCAAUGCGCGAAAGCGUGACGGAGCAAUGCCGCGUGAAGGAUGAAGCACCUCGGUGUGUAAACUUCUGUCAGGGUUUAGGAAACAAAUGACCAUACCCAAAGGAAGAGCCGGCUAACUCUGUGCCAGCAGCCGCGGUAAUACAGAGGGCUCAAGCGUUAAUCGGAAUCACUGGGCUUAAAGGGUGCGCAGGCGGACUCGUCAGUGUCUUGUGAAAUCCCAUGGCUCAACCAUGGAACUGCAGGGCAUACUGCGAGUCUUGAACUCGGCAGGGGCAACCGGAACUCUAGGUGGAGCGGUGAAAUGCGUAGAUAUCUAGAGGAACGCCAAAGGCGAAGGCAG
rnacentral:rRNA from 1 species